ACCUGGGCGGGAUGGGGAGAGGAGGACUUUCCACAGAGGAAGUGGCCUCACUUAGCGAGACAGGCACAGGUACCCAAGGAGCAGGGCACAGGCUUGCUACCUAUUCAUGGAGUUUGUAAGUCGGCAUGAAGGCCCAUUGACUGAAGAUGUGUGACUUUGCCCCACCCUGUACACUGAUGGCAAUGCAGUGCCAAUGCACAAUGAGACAACACACUGCAGAUUCUUGAAACAGGUGAGAAACAUGAUUACAUACAAAAACUUGAAUCACAGCAAUAUCUGUGGAAGCCUAGGAGGAUAACUUUUGAGUCUCCGUGACAUAAAUGUCCUAUGUGAAUGUGGUUCAGGAAAAACUCACCUUCAAGAUGAGUUAAGGGAAAAGAACCAGCAAAGGGUCACUGUGAAGAUACUGCAUGAAAGGAGAAGUAAAGGAAACACAAAUGGAUGAGUAAGAAGACCUGCACGAGACACCUGAAAAGUUUGGCCAAACGUCUGUAUCACAUGACACAAACUGAUAAAGGAGUCACCUCCUUGCAAACAAGGGACAUA